rnacentral:rRNA from 1 species
AGGAUGAACGCUGGCGGCGUGCUUAACACAUGCAAGUCGAGCGACGCUCUUCCUUCGGGAGGAUGACGGAGCGGCGAACGGGUGAGUAACACGUGGGCAACCUGCCCUCAGCUCUGGGACAACUCCGGGAAACCGGGGCUAAUACCGGAUAUGACUAUCCUGGGCAUCUGGGGUGGUGGAAAGUUUUUCGGCUGAGGAUGGGCCCGCGGCCUAUCAGCUUGUUGGUGGGGUGAUGGCCUACCAAGGCGACGACGGGUA